rnacentral:lncRNA from 1 species
AACAAGAAAGAAGCCCCUUAGUCGAUUAAUGAAGAGUUAGUCAGCUAAGAUUCAAAUCAGAAGUUGGUGGGCUGAAGAAUAUUGAAGGACAAAGCCAACUUAGUCGACCAAGAAAUAAGUUAGUCGACUAAGUGUUCACUGCCAGAAACUAGAAUCAAGAGACAGUGACAACUGCCCCAACAUCCCGAUAGGCACUCAUUACCCCGAAUGCCGAUCGAAACCCCGCAAGGCUUAGCAUUAGCUUCCGUAUCCCCCUGGUGAGCGACAAUUAUUAAAUCUCACAUUUCAAAAAAUUAUAAGUUAUUUCCAAAUCAAAACAAUAAAAUAUUACUUUCUGGCUCACAGGGGCAUUUUUAUCAUUUUUCUUCGAAAAUAUCGAAACUCGCCAAAAAUAUGGUAUAAAAGCUAAAUAUAUUCAUAUAUACUUUAAAUCAAAUAACUGAAGAAUAAAAUUACUUUUACAGUGACACGUGGGCCCCAAUUGACCAAAAGGAUGUCAGACUGUGAACUCUUACUUUCUAUAAUACAGUUUCGAACUUAGUUCUUGUCCUGCUUGACUAUCUACAAACUGUCCUGAGCCUGAAAAAUGUAUAGGAAGAAGGGGUGAGAUUUUGUAAUCCCAGUGAGUAAACAGAUACCAUCUAAAGUAUCUAAAGCCGAGUAAAUGGAGACAAUACAAUAUCCCAUCCCAAUAUGCAUUUCAUAACUUAGAAAUUUAUUCCAUCCCAUGAAAACAAUUAUAAUUCAAUUAAAAUAAUUUUCAAGGCUUAUGUUUCUCAUAAAAUUUGGCUCAUGCCAAAACUCAUCCUCGAGGAUACUUGAUCGUCAUCAAAGCAUCCACUCGAGUCCGCCAAGGCUGUUAAAACGACUUAUUCAUAUAAAACAGCUGUCUCUUGGAGUUUGCUGAAUCUCACUUUCACGUGGUGGUGAAGCGUGAAGUGGACUCAAACCCCUCAACAAGAGUUACCCUACGCGCCUCUCCCACAGAGGUAAAAUAAAUUAGCCGGGUUUACUGAGCCCCUCUAAUAGGAUGGUCUACGGAAACCCGCCACUGCAGUGUAGGUCAGCCCCACCAUAGUCAUAAAAUAGUUUAACAGCAUAACAAGGUAAUUUUUUUAUAAUAACUAAUUUGUACGACAAACCACAAUUCAUGUAAUUUCAAUACAAUAAACCAGCCAAGCAUGCUCACACUAUCAUAAGCCAUUUGAAUUAAAAAUACAAUUCAUACUUAACAACCACAAUCUCCAUGUACUCUAUUUAAAAAAAAUAACAGUCAUCAUUAAUUUCAAACAAUUUAUAAAACCAUUUUAUAAAAACACAUUUAUUUAUAAAACACGAAAUUUAUCCUUUUUAAAUCCAUUUUUCAUAAAAUUUAUAAAAUUUCAUAAAAACUACCUUAGAUAAAUUAAAUGAUAAUAAGUUUACUCACAGUAUUAGGAGU